rnacentral:tRNA from 1 species
GGCCCUGUGGCCUAAUUUAUAAGGCUUCUCUUAAAGCGAAGACUGCAGGUUCAAGUUCUGUCUGGGUCG